AUGCUUAACUGACUGAGCCCCCCAGGGUGCCCCCAUCCUCCUUCUAGCUUGUGCCUCCCCACACCCAGAUCCAUGGCCAUCUCCCUUGCAUUCUGCUUUUGAGUACUGCAUGAUACUCAUUUACCGUGACGGCAUGCCGUAGUCAUACAAUAGCUUAUUCUCAAAAUCUGCUUUUGAGGGAAGCUGAUGGCAAGUUUAGCAAGCAUUAAGACAUCAUAAUGAGAUUCUUAUAUUUUCUAUGACUGAUAAGAAUGAUCCCAUUGGUAAGGGUGUGUUCCUUUAAAAGCCACUGAUGUCAUUCAGUGACCGGCUUAUAUAUGAGCGGGAGAGAUGUAGUCUUUAAAAGGACAGAUAGUCACUCCAGCUUGCCGCUCCAUGGUGUGCCUUGAUCACCACAAGUUCUCCAAGCAAAAUUAAUUUUAAUUAGCCUUCAUAAUAAGAGCACUCGGGAGGAACUUGAUCAUUCAGUCGGGCUUGUAUCUAUGUAUUCAGGCCCAGUGCAGUGGGUACGGUCUCUAGAAAACAAAAUUAGGAACUGUAUUGUUAAUGACAAUGUUUGCACUGUAAGAAAUAAAUUCUUCAGUAUUGUCACAGAAAUUUCAGUUUCCUGUAACUAGGCCAAAGGUGAAAGAAAGAGGGAAGGGACAUUUACUCUUGACUCCAAAUACAGUGAAUUCUGGAUUGUACUUCAUUGGAAAUGGUGAGUCCCGAGUAGAAUGCAAAGAAGGGCUUAUCUCCAACUUAGCAAACUUUCCUCUCAGUCACAAUUUCUAUUUCCCUGAGGAAUGUGUCUUGACUCUCAGAUAUGAUUCAUCCUUUAGGGACAAAGUAGAAACCUUUUCUUCCCUCAAGGAUCACGACCAAAGCAAAUCUUGGCAUUCCCAAAGAAAGGGUGUUUAAUCUCCUGCUUGUCUCAAGUAGGUGCUUGUUCCCAGCCAGUAAUGGAAUUUAAAUUCUUCAUGCCCGGGCUGCUGAAAGUCUGCUUGUUGAAAAGUUGGCAACAUUGAAAACGCUGAAAAAUAAUGUCUAACUGGCAUGUGUUUAUGGAAAUUCGAAUAAUGCAAGAAGUUUCAUGAUGGCGGUUGAGUGCCAGGCUUCCAGAUUGUCUCGGUGGAUUGGGUGCCCUGACGGUCUCCACCCUAGGGGAAGGAAGAGAGAGCGCUUAGAUUGAGCUGGAAGGGGAAAGGAGCCGUUUCACAAAGCAACUGAUGUUUGAUUCCUUUGAAACUUAGUAUAAAAAGAGAGCCCCAAAUAGAACACCGAGUUGCCCCGAGGAAGGCAAGGCUCAGCUUCCCAGGCCAGCAGAAGCUGGAGCUCAGGGGGUGCCUCCCCGUCCGUGGCCUUGGGAGGACUUGCUCACGUGGCUAAUCGGUCUGAGAAAGUGAAGGUUUCGAGUUGAGUGCUAUGUAAUUUCUUAAUCUGGUGUUUGCUUAUUUAAUCCUCCAGUUGACACAUCUUAUUUGCUUUGUCAUGGUUCUAAUUCUGUGAGUGUUUGUGCAGAGAAACAGAUCUCUGUUUUUAUUUUGUUUCUCUGCCUACACACACUCACGCAAACACGCAUGCAUGCGGAGGGACGUAUUAUGUAUCCGGAGGAUUAAGAAAAAUUCUAACACGUUGCACUAAGAAAUGUUAAAAUCUGUAACUGGAUAUUGACUGACCUUUCUAAGAAAAAUUCGACAGGAAUUAACAUGAACAGAUGUUCUCUCCCAGCAGAGAGCAUGAGACCGUUAGUCACUAGCCGAGAAUGAAGCGCUACAUGGGACUCCAAGCCAAGGUGUAUUUAUAGGUGUGAUGAUUGAAGGAGCUGUAUGUCACGGUUGCUAGGGGACAACUUAGGUUACAACUGAUCCCUUUUCUGUGAAAGCUUAUCAGUAUGGGAUGUUGACAUAGUUAACUUUCUGAAAACUAUUGUUUGGUUUCUAUUUCCAACUCCUAUAAAUAAAAAUAAAAACAAACAGUGUGACAUAAGGUAUAUUCUCUGAGGGUAGGGAUAGUAUGACAGACUCCUAAACCUCUUUGGAAAUGAGCAUUGUAAUAGGACUUCCUGGAGAUACGGAAAAUCUGAAAAGUGAUUAGAAAUGUGCAUGCGUGCAUGUGUGUGUGUGUGUGUGUGUGUGUGUGUUUGAGAGGAAACAAUAUCUGAACAUGUUUUCCAGUGAAUUGAGGUUGCCUGACAAAAACAGAACGGGACUCCUUCUUCUCUAUCCCUGUGAAAGUGGGACAUUCGUUGAUCUUUGCCUUCUGGCCCACUCGACUUGGCGGGGGCCCUGUCCUGUUCUCCGUGGGUGUCACAAAUGCUCUCUCGUCCUGUGAGGGUCAUGUCUGCAGAAGGUGCUCGAGGAUUCGGGGAUCCCCCAUGGAGAAGUCAAACGUUAGGACCCAAGUUUUGCCAGAAGGAAUUCCACACAAAAUACUGACUACCAGUUCAGAAUGCUUCUUGGAAUAAAUGAGACGUAUUUACCGUAAUUGCCUAACUUUGAAGGCAGUUUAACUCUCCGUUUGCAAGAAGAAAAAAAUUGAAACUAUUCCAUACAAAUGAAAGUUGGUCUCCAAAUUUUCAGGGCUUUUUGUCUGUUAUUUUGUAUAUGUUUAUACUUCGAAAUGAAUACAUGCUAACUAUUGCUGAUCUGUAAUGGGACAGAAACAUUCAGAGUCUUCUUCCUGUAUCUCACCGCGCAUGAUGAGCGUUCGCAGUCCUACUUGGUAUAGCCCUGUUCCAUCGCGACCUUGAGCAAGGACCUCCAUUUCCUCUUCUGUAAGACAGGAAUGAUAUGUAGCACCUCACACAUAGGGGGACCGUAAGGACUGAAUAGGAUCGUAAGCUUACAGCAGGUGGAACAGCACUUCGCCCCUGCUGUUAGCGAGGACUCUUAUUUCAUGUUCCGUAUUACCCCCCUUCACUUGAAUGACUACUCAGCUGCCUUGACGGGAAUUAUUCACCCUGUUUGCAUCUCUCCAUUUUACUGAACAUUGUCACCUGAAUAAAACUAUGUCAUACUUGGG